rnacentral:rRNA from 1 species
UACGAAGGGGGCUAGCGUUGUUCGGAAUUACUGGGCGUAAAGGGCGCGUAGGCGGCCAUUUCAAGUUAGAUGUGAAAGCCCUGGGCUCAACCUAGGAAUUGCAUUUGAUACUGUUUGGCUUGAGUUCGGGAGAGGUGAGUGGAAUUCCCAGUGUAGAGGUGAAAUUCGUAGAUAUUGGGAAGAACACCAGUGGCGAAGGCGCUCACUGGACCGACACUGACGCUGAGGCGCGAAAGCGUGGGGAGCAAACAGGG